GACAGGCUGAGAGAGUAGGGCCUGUAUAGCCUGGAAAAUAGAAGACCUAGGGAAGACCUCAUCAGUCUGUAUAAAUAUCUGAGGGGAGGGUUUUGAGAGGAUGGAGCCAGUCUCUUUUCAGUUAUGCCCAGCGACAGGACAAAAGGCAUCAGGCACAAACUGAAGCACAGGAGGUUCCGGCUGAAUAUGAGAGGGCAAUUCUUUAGUGGGAGGGUGACAGAGCACUGGGACAGGUUGCCCGGAGAGGCUGUGGAGUCUCCUUCUCUGGAGAUACUCAAAACCCACCUGGAUGCUAUCCUGCGCAAUGUGCUCUAAGUGAUCCUGCUUGACCAAAGGGUUGGAAUAGAUCUCCAGAGAGAGCA